AGUAGUGUAUGCUUCUCCUAAAGACUAAGCCAUGCAUGCCUUCGAAUAAGAGGAAGCAAUUCUCUCUGAAUCUGCGAACGGCUCCGCAAACCAGUUGUAAACUACAGCAAGCCCGUUCAGGCUUGGCCUUCACGGGCCGGGCCUGGGCUACACGGAUACCCCUGGUAAUUCUGAGGCUAAUACGAGAACGUAACAACCUGGCUGACCGGCAACGGGAAGCCGGGGAACGUGUGAAACUCUCGCGAGGAAUCUUGCCGGGAAUCGGGUGCACGUUCAGACCGCGCUACAAAGGAAUGGUGCUCUCUUCGGGGGGCGCUUGCCCUAGCGGCUCUUGCGUUGUGCUUCUGACCUAUCAACUAGAUGGCAGCGUAACGGACAUGCUAUGGUGACAACGGGUACAGAGGAUUAGGGUUCGAUCCUGGAGAGUGGGCCUGAGAGAUUGCUCAUACUUCUAAGGAAGGCAGCAGGCGCGCAACGUUCCCCUUGGGCAAUGCUCGAGGGCGUUAGGGGACAUAUGAAUGCCUGCCUUCUAGGUGGGCAAUUCAAAUGGGUCUGU
rnacentral:rRNA from 1 species